rnacentral:rRNA from 1 species
AUUCCAGCUCCAAUAGCGAAUACUAAUUCUGCUGCAGUUAAAAAGCUCGUAGUUGAACUUCUGGUAGGACAGAUCCGGCCUUUGGAUGAAUGUCCAUUGUAUGCUGUGUGUCUUGUCUGGCCAUCCUUUAUGUCUUUUAGGCGUAAUCUUUCACUGUAAAAAAAUUAGGGUGUUUCAAGCAAAAGUUAUUUGGAAUAUAUUAGUAUGGGAUGAUAAGAUAGGCUCUUGAGUGCUACUUUGUUGGUUUAUACACUUAGAGAAUGAUUAACAGGGACAGUUGGGGGUAUUUGUAUUCCGUUGUCAGAGGUGAAAUUCUUGGAUUUACGGAAGACAAACUACUGCGAAAGCAUUUACCAAGGAUGUUUUCAUUG